UACGGAGGGUGCAAGCGUUAUCCGGAUUCACUGGGUUUAAGGGGAGCGUAGGUGGGUUGGUAAGUCAGUGGUGAAAUCCCCGAGCUUAACUUGGGAACUGCCAUUGAUACUAUCAGUCUUGAAUACUGUGGAGGUCAGCGGAAUAUGUCAUGUAGCGGUGAAAUGCUUAGAUAUGACAUAGAACACCCAUUGCGAAGGCAGCUAACUACACGAUCAUUGACACUGAGGCACGAAAGCGUGGGGAGCAAACAGG
rnacentral:rRNA from 1 species